GACUAAGUCAUGGAAAGGCUGUCAUAGGAUUGAGACUUUCUGAACAAUCUUGGUGAAACUACAGUGUUGCAGGGACUGUCUUGUGACCAGACACAGAAACCUUUUUCUGACUCAAGGAUUAAACAUCUUUGAGGGUUUGAGGGAAGAUGGGUUUAAGAUCUUGCCUAUGGAGCCAACAUGAAAGUUGGAAUGGACACAUUGGCUACAACUAUAGGGGCAUUCAUGCCAUUUGAAAUGGCUGUAGGAUUGCAGGCUGUAAUAUACAAAUACUUUAUGACAACUACUCAGUGUGGGGCAGGGAAUUUGGGGAAAUAAGAAAUAGUACAGUCCUGAGUCACUAGUCACCAAGUCAUGGCAGGUGGUUAGCAUAAAAAGUACCUCUGACUGCACAGGAGCAAUCAGGAGACAUUCAUGUGUACUCCUGCAAUUAUACAGCAUAACCAGUGAUGAAGCAAAUAUUUAUAGGGCUUGGUAAGUAUUUGGCUGGAUUUGUAGACAGGUGUCUAAGGUACACCAAGACAGAUCAAAUGGAUCAUUUUCUGAAAAUACAGGUGUCUCUGUUGCUUAAAGCAGCAACCUUGAUUAACUGGUUAAACUAUGAGAUUAUCAUAUUUAGGCAAACAAAAACCCAUAGUGACACCUUCCUGUAAGUACCACUGUGUUUCUAGUUCCAGAAGUACUUGGAAGCAUUCUGUGCCAUGAGCAGACUGGGCAAUUAACUGCUGCCAUUAAUGCCCUUAGCAGCUCUUUGCCUAAGGAGAAUUAUACUCAUCCUUGCUUCUCUACCUUCUUUUCGACAGGAGGCAAGAAGAAUGCUUCCCAGAGGGUAGUGUUGUAUUGAGAUUCUAACUGCCUUGUCUGCCACGUAUUGCAGCGUAGAAACAAGCUUCCACAACUGCAUGACAAAAUACCUCUGCUUUCUGGUAUGAUCCUGGAAUAAGUGCAUCCUGACAUAACUGACUUGAAAUAAACAGAACUGAAUG